CCUACGGGAGGCAGCAGUGAGGAAUAUUGGUCAAUGGGCGUAAGCCUGAACCAGCCAAGUCGCGUGAGGGAUGAAGGUUCUAUGGAUCGUAAACCUCUUUUAUAAGGGAAUAAAGUGCGGGACGUGUCCCGUUUUGUAUGUACCUUAUGAAUAAGGAUCGGCUAACUCCGUGCCAGCAGCCGCGGUAAUACGGAGGGUCCGAGCGUUAUCCGGAUUGAUUGGGUUUAAAGGGUGCGCAGGCGGCCUUUUAAGUCAGAGGUGAAAGCCUGUGGCUCAACCAUAGAAUUGCCGUUGAAACUGGGAGGCUUGAGUAUGUUAGAGGAAGGCGGAAUGCGUGGUGUAGCGGUGAAAUGCUUAGAUAUCACGCAGAACCCCGAUUGCGAAGGCAGCCUGCCAAGCCAUGACUGACGCUGAUGCACGAAAGCGUGGGGAUCAAACAGGAUUAGAUACCCCUGUAGUC
rnacentral:rRNA from 1 species